GGAUUUAAAAAGUAAGGAUUGUCUUCAAUUGUCACAGAAUGCUUGAGUAAGUUGCUGAUGGUAUGCGGAAGCAGAAGAUGGUGUGAAUGGGUAUGUGUUAAACUUUACAAAGAGAAUUGGGGAAACAAAAAUGAUUUCCUUUAGAUUAAAAGGUUUUGGCAUGUUAAAAGUGAGGAAGACAAUCCCAAGAAAGUUUAAGUAUAUAACAAAUGAUAUUAGUAUGUC